UAUAAAUGUAUGAUACGGCAGCUUGUGUUUUACUUUUACAGUACCUGUGAAUAAAAUGUUUCUUCUUACUGAUGAAUCAGAGUUGAAUGUUGUUUCCUGGUUCACACAUUCUAUAUUCACGGGCUUGAUUGUCUCCACACCAUUGCAAAGAAAAAAAGGGCCAAACAAGCUUUCUGUCUGCAAUCUUCUCAGGAAAUCAAAACAUUUACAUUUAUAUUUUUGGCAGCUCUAAAUCUCAUAUACAUACAUAACAUAAGAAAUAAAAUCCAGUAUUUGACACAUGGACAUUUGUGUAGCUUGCUUACUUUUGCACACCUUAAUUUUUGGUCUUUAUGCAAUUUUUAAACUCAUAAGAUUUCCAUUAGUUUAUUAUAAAACAACACGAUAGGCUAAAGACCUUGCCCAUUCUGUUGCUAGGGCAACAGCUUUGGUCCAAGUUAAGGUUUAUUGUCAGCUAUACUGCACUAACAAUCAUUUCAACAGGAAAUAGAAAGUGGCCCAUUAUGAAUGCUUACGUUGUACGAUUUUAAAAGGUCUGUAUAAUAGUAUAUGCAUUCGACAAACAAGAGUAACAACAAGGCUACAUUUGUCACUAAAUUGACAUGUAUUUACCUACACAUGAAAGUAUAUAAGGAAAUCCGGAGAAAUGCUUGUAUUACUGCCGCUACCGUCUCAUGCACACUGCGCAUGCGCGAGCCAGUACCAGAGGAAGUGUUUAAAAUAAAAAUAGUUUUGCAAAAAUGCAUGUGUUUUGGAACUACUGAGCAUACGAUUUAUACUAUACUGCGCGAGUUGUGUUGAUAUUUUGUAUACGGAAUAGUUUUGCUGUUGUUAAACCUAUAGCCUCCAUUUACGUUAACUCAUCAAGGAUUUACUCCGUUUUGGGACCGUCCAUUCCCCGCGGAGGCAUGCGAGGAAAGUUCUCUUCCAGAAGAAAGGUAACACCAGGUGAGUAAUUGAUAUACAAACGGCCAGUUUAAGGAUUAAGUGUUCCUGUAACAAACCUUGCCCCACCGGAUUGACCUCUUCUGUGAGACUUCGUGGGGGCGUGUCAGACUGUUGAUUGAGUCUCCUGAUGCACCUGAGCACGCUGUGGCCAAUUUAUUCCAAUUGUUAGAUAAUUAAAAUACUGUUCACAGCGUCUGCUGUGGGAUUGCGAUGAAAUUGUGCCAGGAAAGAAAUCUCGCUGUAGAAAUUUUUUUUCUUUCAUGUAAUUAUGUCAGUUUUGAAUGUGCACCACGCAUGUUUGAAGACAACCACCACGUGUUUGAACGUGUAAAUACCAACAACAUUAGAGGGGGAGGCGUGUGGAGUAGGUGAGACAAGGUCUGGAGCCGUCACCCACUGAGGGAGCCCAAGGGAGCCCAGGCAGUGAUCUACACUCUGGCAGGACACCCGCAGUCUUCAGCACGGUCACUCAUCAACCUGAAGCCUUCUCCUCUGAUCUGCUGACUCACUCUGCACACAGCGAACCAUUCCAGUCCAG